UGGCAUCAUUUCGGCAUUCAAUACAUUAGUUCACCAUAAAUAAUGGUGACAUAUUCGAUUUUGGCUUUUCUCGACUGGGAUGGAGGAGAAGUAGAUGGAUCGAUACAUGCUUUAUUAGUAUGGGAGGCAUUGGAAAAAACAGGUAUAUAUUCAUUCACUCAUAUGUAUAUGGAGUACUUCUCUUCAUACUCCAUUAAUUAAAAUUAGAAAUUAUACUUCUCUUCAUAUUACUCGUAUGGUAUUAAUAAGCUUGGUGUCAGCAGUAUAGGGUCCUUAUAAAAUGGAAGGGUGUUUAUAUCUUUAAAUAUUUAAGUAUUAAAUUAUAGAGUAGUGAUAUAGGGCAAGUGCCAAUUAACUACAUAAUUAGAGAACAAAUCACAGCCACAAGAGCAAGAAAAUCAAGGGCUAGUAUUAAAACAUGUAAUUUUCGAAUUUAAAGGAGAAAUUAAUUCUCUCUGUCACAAAUUUACUUCACAAUAACAAGACAGGGGUAUAAUGGUCAUUGCAUAGAAAAAGUAGGUUAUGUAAAGUUUUACUUCAUUUGAAAGUUAACCUUGCUACUACACUGCAAAUUCCCGCUAUUCAACCUUCUUUCUCUCUUCUGCAAUUCGAGCGAUUCAACCUUCUCGUUACCGUCUCCGUCGCCGUCGCUGUCGCCUCAUUCCAUAGUCGUCAACAUCCAGUUCUCACAUUCCUUCGUCUAAACAAAUGGCUACACAUCAAGGAGAUUUUUUAUUUUCGUGACGACAUUAUGGAUGCCCAAAUUGCAUCUGCAAUAGAAGCGUGCAUGACGCUAGGUGAUGAUGAUGACUACGUUCAAUCAGAAUUGAAAGAAUCUAGCCAAAAUCCUUCAACCGAAUUAAUAGUUUACGAUCUGGACCUUGCAAGUGCUGGGAUUGAACAAAUGGAGGUACGUUCAAAAGCCGAGAAGAGAAUAUCCGCUGCAUUGCGAUCUCCAUUCCAUGAAAGAGAGGUUCAGGCAAAAACAAAGUUUACCUUGAAAGAGUCACAAAUCUUUUUGUGGAGUAUGACAACAUAUGAAUUAAAUGAGGACAACAUAUUGUAUGAUGAUGAUGUCGUAAUGGUAACAAAAAGAGAAUUCUGUUCACUAUUGCCACAUACGCUAAUAGAAGUGGGUGUGAUCAAUGCGUGGGCUUCUUAUUUGAAUAACAUGGAAGAAUACAAGGCUCUAUCUUCAUCGAGGCGCCUCUUUUUCACAACAUACCUUCCGUAAGAAUAGUAUAAAUUUUGAAAAAUUAACUGCAUGGUAUAUGUUCAUUAUAAAGCAUGUUUAUUUCAAUAUUAAUUAUAUUCAUGUCACUAUAUGAUAUUUAAACUUCCCUAUAAGUAUAUGUUCACUAUAAAGUGAACUAAACACAGGUCAUUAGUACUAUAAACAGGACACAAAGUGAACUAUUUCUAUCCAGAUUUGACUUGUCUCAUCUUUCAGCUGUAUACAGUUGUUCACCGGCCUGAUGUGGUCGACAUCAUCACCAUAAUUGAUAGAUUCUGUGACAAUUUAGAAAAUGAGGUUAAACAAAUUCCGUAUUUCAAGUGGGCCGACGUAGAUUUGGUGUUCUUUUCAAUUUGUGCUGCGGAAUAUUAUUAUACCAUAUGCUUCAGAUUUAGCACUAAAAGUAUAGUGGUGAUUGACAAUUUAAAGAAUGGUGACGAUGAGGACAUCACAGUCAAGUAUGGUAGCAUACCUGAAACUGUGAGAGUGUAUUUUUGUCAUUAUUUGACAAAAAUGGGUUAUCACAUGCAAUGCAAAUCAAUAAAGGAUGUGAACAUAAAAAGGCUCAAAAUGACUUGGAGAACAACAUCAAAUGUAGAAGAUUGUGGAGUUUUUUUUAUGAGACAUGGAAUGUGAUCCUUGCCACAGUUAUAGUGAUGUUUUUGUGAUAUUUGGUUAUAGUGAUCUAUUUUUUUCAUGUCAGUGAAGUAAAUACAUGCUUAGAGUGAUGUUUCUUUGAUAUUUGCGUAUAGUGAUCUAUUUUGUUAA